rnacentral:tRNA from 1 species
GCAGCGAUGGUUCAGAGGUAGAAUUCUUGCUUCCCAUGUGGGAGACCUGGGUUCAAUUCCCCGCCAAUGUG